UCUCUCCCUAUUGUCAGAAUUUUCAAUCCACCCAUUCUGUUCCCACUGACUGUCUUGUUUGCGUAUCUAAAGCAUACUCUACUUCUUCAGAUCUUAUAGAUUAUCAGAUGAUUGCAACCUAGAAGAAAGUUAACAGAAACCACUCAAGCUUUACAGGACUCCUACUGAGAUUUCAGUAAUCCUUCUGAAGUACCAAAUCAUCAUUUCGAUCCCAGGAGUUUUCAGAAGCAAAUGGCUCCAGUAGAAAGAACAGAUGCUCUGUGGAGGAUGAAAAAGGCUAAACCACUUAGUGAGAAGACUUCUGUCUUCCACUAAGAUACUUCAUUUUUAAGAAUUGCACAUGAAAAGGGCAUCCAAGUAUAUCAUCAUAGAGCUAUUUGACCCAAAAGGGAAAUAAGGAAAUCAAGAGACAGACCCAGAUACUGCACUGCUUUCCAUGAAAUGUCAAGAGAUCUAGGAUGAGGAAAUUGAGGAACAGAUGGAUGAAGUGACUUUUUUCACAGUCCUACAGCUAAUGAAUAGAAGAGAUGGCUUUAGAACUCAUGUCUCCAGACUCUUAAUCUGAUGCUUGUUUUUUUCUAUUUCCAUAAUUGUACAGUUUGCUGUUUUAAAUGGAAACAGAUUGUGUAAUGUGCCAAAAUAACAGGUCAUUCAUCAUUUAAAGAAAUACAUUCGAUUCCUUUUCCCCCAGUCUUUCCCCCCUCUCUUUUCACAAAUACUUCUGCCAAAUCAGGUAUGAUAGUAAUGUUAAUGCUCAUAUGUCAUGUUCUAGAGAAACAAGUGAAAAGAGAAAUAUAGUAUUU